GACCUAUGGUGAGGGCACCUUCUCAAUAAAUCCUUAUACCUCUCCCAUGCAUCAUAUAAAUUCUCUAAAUCCAUUUGUACAAAGGAAGAGAUAUCAUUCCUCAAUUU
rnacentral:snoRNA from 1 species